AUGUAUCUGGUUAUAAUUUUACCGCUGCUCAUUAUAUGGCUCCCUCCCCUGAUUUUGUUGUUGCCCCCCACCCCUGCUUCUUCUGUCUUGUGGUUAAUGAUCAUUCUUCUUCUUUUUGUGAUGUUGUUGGUUGUUGUCACCAUAGCUCUUGUAGAGAGAAUACAUGUAAAAAUCUUUUGUAAUGAAGGCGAUCGGAUGGUUUGCUCGAGAAAUAUAGUGUUCAAACGUUUUCCCAAGCCCCCAUCCCUUGUCGUCUGGUAUCAAUGCAUCGUUACAGCUGGUCGCAAAGCUCAGCUUAAUAACAUUUUAAGUACAUGCCAUGUCUAA
rnacentral:rRNA from 1 species